rnacentral:lncRNA from 1 species
CUCAAAUCUCUCUCGAUGGAAAAGAGGCUAAAGAAAACUUCCUGCAAGUCGAUGAUUAUGGUCGAGAAAUAGAACAAGUGAGGAGCUGGGACUAUUCAAUGCAGUGUAGUUGGGAGAUUUUGAGAAUGUUGAGACUGUUUUGGAAAGGGAUCCAAAUUUUAUUCAUCGGUCCACAGUGCAUGAUCGCCACUCAGCUUUGCACAUUGCUGCUGCUAAUGGUCAGACGGAGGUGGGCUUCUUGGUAUUUCUCGAAAUUUUGAUGUUUUCUCAUUUCUGGUUCUGAUUUGGUGAUUUCAGAUUCUUUCUAUGCUCUGGGACCGAUAUGUCAAUCCCAAUUUAUUGAAUUGCCACAAGCAGGUAUGUUUAUAUUGAUCUCUUCGAAAUGACUGUAAAUAUUUGAUUUAAUUUCUUGAUUUUUAAGACUUGUUAUCUGAUAUUAUCAUUUAUAUGUGAAUGUUAGAUUGACACUCCAUUGAUGUUGGCUGCAAUGCAUGGAAAGAUCUCAUGUGUGAAGAAACUCAUUGAAGCUGGGCCGAAUGUAUUUUUUUUUCCCAUUCCCUUAUCUUCUAUAAUAAGACGUUUUCAAGUAAUCUGUAUUUAUUUAUAUGCAUUUACAUGUGUGUUGGUGGUCAUUAUUGACUGUGUUAAUCGUGAAUAUUGGGCCAGAUUUUAAUUUUCAAUUCACUAAAUGAAGGACUUGCUUACACUAUUCAGCUUAUUAUGGUCAUUCUGAUUGCCUUGAAGGUAUUCUUUAGACUGCUUGCAUCUCCCAGGUGGCUGUUUCAUGGUAGGUUUCUCAGGGAUAGAUUAACUUUAUGCUGUUAAGAAUUAUGCCUUAGUCACAAUUAAGAGUACAAUAUUGAGUAAAACGAAAUUAGAGAAACAUGUGCAUACAUAGAUUUAUAACGGUUCACCCUUAACUUGAGAGUCACGUCCACCCGCCACUUCAGGUUGAACUGUGAAGAAGAAAAGAGGAUUAUUAUGGCGAAUCAUGCCUCUCAACGCCUCGAAAAUCCUUUGUAUAGUCUUGAACCUAAAUAUACCUAAAACUUAACUUAUUAGGCACAUAAUCCAAUUUAUUGUUGUUAGGAUCUUCCUCUUCCUGCUCACGGUGAUUUCCGGGCUCAGUUAACCAUUAAACCGAAUUCAACAUCAAAUUGGAGUCACCAAGAACCGCCGGCGCCUCUUCCCACUUGGUUGCUUUCCUCCUUUGCUUUGUUAAUUUAAUCCACACACUUAGGAUGGAUACCACUCAGGUAAGGUUCACAAAGACUCAAGCAACUAGGAUGGAGAAGAAAUCACGAAGAAGAUGAAGGCAGAAAAGCAUGGCAGAACAUGGUAGCUUCUAUCUCUUACGGCUUCAACUUGGACGGGCUCAACUAGGAUGAAAACACCAAUAUAUAUAGUAAGUCAAGUGGCCAACAUAAGGUAAGUAAGGAUAUGGUAAGUAGGCUCGACUAGGGUUAACUUCCAAUGGAAAGAAUCAACAAGCCACAAAGAGUAUUAGCCGUCCAAUAGGUAAAGCAACGUUUGGUCGGUUCAUCCAUUAUUCGAUGUUGAAUUAUCGUUCAGUCAUUCAUGUCGACUGAUAAAAUUGGUUCUCAUCAUCGCCCGGGAGGUCGUUUGACAACAUAAUGUCUAACAACCUCCACCUUGGUGUCAAAGGACCUGCAAAGAAAAACGUUUUUCCAUUAGUGACACCUCUAACAGAAAAAUCGAUAAAAUUGAAAUCAUUUACCUGUACCGAUGUUUAGAAGCUCUUUGCAACUUCUAAACUUUACCAGUGGCAGCACUUUCGUGCCCAUAUCUGAAGGAUUGUACUGUGUGUGAAUUUUUUCAAGUCUUACUACUUCUUGUGAUAUUAUAUCCCUAAUGAAGUGUAACCUAACAUCGAUAUGUUUAGUGCGUUCAUGAAAAAUAGGAUUCUUACACAAAUGUAUGGAUGAUUGACUAUCAGAAUACACAACCACAUACUCAUUCAAGACACUAAGUUCAUGAAGUAGACCUCUAAGUCAUAGAGCCUUUUUAAUUGCUUCAGUGGUGGCAAUAUAUUCUGACUCUGUAGUGGAUAGUGCAACUAUGUGUUGUAACUGUGAUUUCCAACUAACACACGAAUUUGAUAAGGUGAAUACGUAAGAGGAAGUUGAUUUCCUACCAUCCAUAUCUCCUGCAUAGUCAGCAUCUACAAAACCCUUUAAUUUCAAGCCUUCUUUAUUAGCACUAAAUUUUAGACCCACGUCACUUGUACCCUUCAAAUAUCUUAAAAGCCACUUUAAUGCUUCCCAAUGUUCAGGACCUGGAUUAGACAUGUACCUACUGAGAGUAUUAAUAGCGAAUCCUAAGUCCGGUCUAGUGCAAACCAUCAAAUAUAUUAUGGAACCAGUCACAUUUGAGUAUGGAAUUUUACUCAUGUAUUCCACUUCACGUUCAUUGCAGGAAGCUUGUUCCUUAGAUAGAACAAAAUGAUUUGCAAGAGGCAACGUGACAGGUUUGCAGUCACUCAUAUUAAACUUUUUCAACACUUUUGAUAUGUAUGGGGACUGAUGUAAGAAUACGAUGGAAUUUGACCUAUUUCAUUCUAUUUCCAUGCCUAGAAUCCUUUUAGCCUUUCCUAGGUCUUUCAUGUCAAAUUCUCCACUAAGAUCUGCUUUUAUAUUGUUUAUCCACUUAGGAGAUGAUCCAACUAAAAGCAUAUCGUCCACAUAGAGCAACAAAAACAAAUAAUUGUUAUCAAUCUCGUUGUGUUGAAAGUAUAGGUAGUGAUCGAAUUUACUUCUUUGAAAUCCUAUAGUGAGUACAAAGGAAUCAAACAUCUUGUACCACUGUCUAGGUGAUUGCUUUAGACCGUAUAGGGAUCUUUUCAGAAAACACACAUAGUCAGGUUUUAACUUGUCUUUAAAACCUUUUGGUUGAUUCAUAAAGAUUUGUUCAUCAAGCUCUCCAUGUAAAAAGGCGAUUUUUACAUCGAGUUGUUCAAGUUCCCAGUCAAAGAGCGCAACCAAUGCGAGCAUGACCCUAAUAGUAGUGUACUUGACAACUGGUGAGAAAAUCUCGUUAUAAUCAACACCUUCUUUCUGUGUGUAACCCUUUGCUACUAACCUAGCCUUAAACCUUAAGGGUUCUGAACUACUAGUACCUUCUUUAACCUUAAAGACCCACUUGCAAUCAACGAUUGAUUUAUUCUUAGGUCUCGGUACUAACUCCCAAGUUUGAUUCUUUUCUAGAGAACUCAUCUCUUCUUUCAUAGCCUCAAGCCACUCCUUAGAUUGACCACUGUUCAUAGCCUCUUCAAACGUUUCUGGCUCCCUAUCAACUAGUUCUUCGUAACUAGCGUAUGCAAAAUCCAAUUCAGAUUCAUAUCCGAAUCUCCUAGGUUCUCUCGUUUGUCUUCUCUCUCUAUCUCUAGCUAAGUUAUAGUUAGCUAGUGGAUUUUCUUCUUCAGGAUGCUCUUCUAUCACUACUUCAUUUUCCUCUUCAGGUUCUUGGACCUGAAUCUCCACCUCACUCGAAGUACUAGGUACUGAUGUGUUAAAUUUUCCUAACUCCACCUUAAACCGACUUCUUUCUUCACUUGAUUCAGUUUCACUUAUUGGUUCGGUUUCGUUCUUUAGACAAGGCAUCUCUUUCUCAUUAAAUGUGACAUCCCUACUCACGAUGAUCUUAACUCCUUUUUGGCUUCUAUCCCAUAGCCUAUAUCCCUUAACCCCUUCGGGAUACCCUAGAAAGACACACUUCCUGGCUCUUGGUUCUAACUUUUCCUCACUUUGAUGAGAGAAAGCAGCACAGCCAAAUGCUUUAAGCAUCGAGUAGUCACCCAAUUUUCCAGACCAUUUCUCAUGUGGAGUAUCACCAUUUAAUGCAGCUGAUGGAGUCAAAUUUAUUAGAUAACAGGCAGUGACAACGGCUUCACCCCAAAAUGACUUAGGAACCCCAGAACUUAACAUCAUGCAGCGCACUUUGUCAAGUAUGGUCCUAUUCAUUCUUUCUGCCACCCUGUUUUGCUGGGGGGUAUAAGGGACCGUUUUGUGCCUUGUUAUUCCACUUUGAAAUGUGUAGGAUAGCUUAAGUCAUAAACAGAAUUCUAGGCCGUUAUCUGUCCUUAAAAAUUUGAUCCUCUUGCAGCGCACUUUGUCUAGUAUGGUCCUAUUCAUUCUUUCUGCCACCCCGUUUUGCUGGGGAGUAUAAGGGACCGUUUUGUGCCUUGUUAUUCCACUUUCUUUACACAUCCUAUCGAAUUCAGUAUUACAGAAUUCUAGGCCGUUAUCUGUCCUUAAAAAUUUGAUCCUCUUGCUAGUUUGGUUUUCCAUUUGUUUCUUCCAAUUGUUAAAGUUAUGGAAGGUUUCAGUUUUGUCUUUCAAUAGAUAGACCCACACUUUCCUGAUGUAGUCAUCUAUGAUAGAUAGGAAAUACCUAUUCCCACCCGAUGUGGGAUUACUAGCAGGACCCCACAGAUCAGAAUGCACAUAUUCAAGCAUGCUUUUAGCCUUAUGCGUACUGGUGGAAAACGACACUCUAUGGUGCUUCCCAAGCACACAGUGAUCACAGAACGAUAGGUCAGACACACAGUCAUUACCAAAUGCACCUUUUUCAUUAAGUAGCUUAAAUCCUUUAAUGCUUACGUGUGCAAGCCUACUAUGCCACGUGUGUGUGUGAUCGAUUUUGGCGGAAGAAAUAGAGGAGUUUGGUCCUCUAAUCACUUCCCCAGUAGUGAUAUAAAUGUCGUUUUUCUUGAUUCCCUUAAUAGAGAUUAACGUACCCUUCAUCAUUUUAAACAUACUGUUUUCAAUUUUACAGGUGAAGUUGUCUUUCUCAAGUCUUCCUACUGAAAUUAAAUUCCUAGACAAUUCCGGAAUAUAUCUAACUUCUUUUAACACGUACACAAAGCCUGUGUUAAAUUUUAUUUUUAUAUCUCCAAUUCCAACAAUUGUAUAGGAGAAGUUAUCACACAGAACUACUUGUCCAUCAUUAGAUUCUUGCAAGUUUUCAAACCAGUUCUUUUCAGAUGUCACAUGAAAAGACGCACCAGAAUCUAAUAUCCAUUCAUGCAUGUGAGAAUUAGUAGUUAGAUUUAAUUCAGUAGUGUAUGCGACUGGACUAGUGAUCACAUAGACUUCACCGUUUUCAGUAUCGGAGGUAGAGGAUAACACAUUUACCUCAUCUCUUUCCUUAACCUUCUGUUUUCCUUUUUCUUUAUGACAGUCUUUUAUAAAAUGCCCUGUGCCUCCACAGCCAUAGCAUUUUCUACCCUUAGUUCUCGACUUUGAUCUAGGUCUACCAUUCCCCUUCUUUUUCCAACUAUUACUACUUGAUUCGCCACUACUUUGGUAUCCAUCAUGACUGGCUUGCCUAAAUUGUGUUCUACCCCGCAUCAUAUGCAACUCUCCACUCCUCCUAUCCUGUUUUUCAGCCUUCAUUUCCAUCUCUUUACUUCUAAGAGAAUCUACGACAAUUUCAGGUGUUAGCGUGUCCCUACCAUACUUAAUAGCAUUUUUAACUUCUUUAUAAGAGUCCGGGAUUGAAUUGAGCAAGAUAAUGGCCUUAUAGGUUUCAGACACGGCUUCGUCACAAUUGACAAUAUCUUGCACCAAUUUAUUAAAUACAUCUAGAUUGUCGUCGAGAUCCUUUGAAGGAUCCAUUUUAAAGCUGAAGAAUCGUUCGAGUAGGUAGAGUUUAUUCGGUGUAGAUUUAAGCAAGUAUAAGUCUUCUAGUCUUUUCCAAAGUUCUUUGGUGGUUUUUAGUUUUCCCACUUUUCUUAAGACGGCGUCAGACAAGUGUAAUAUUAUUGAGGUAUAGGCAAGCUCAUCGGCUUCCUCUUUUUGUUCUUUUGAGAUAUCAGGUGCAAAAUUGCCUUCGAUGGCUUUUGACACCUUUUGUUGGACUAGUAUGCCUCUCAUCUUUUGUUGCCAGAUAGAGAAGUCCCCUUUACCGUUAAAAAUUCCCAAAUCAAAAUUAUGUGUUGUCAUUGGUUAACACCCUAAUUAAACCACACGAAGUAGUAUUGGGAAACGUGAUAAGGUAAUGUCUUGUUAAUUAUUAGCAAAGGUAAUAAUGAACCUAAACGCUACGUCCACCAAGGAAUAACAAGCACUUUAAAUUAAAAGAACAAAUACUUAAUUAACGCAAGUAAUCCUAAUUCUAGCACACGCAAUGGUUACCCCUUCACGGUAACCCCAAAACCUAACGAUCACCCCACACGAUGAUCUUGCUAUUGCUGAAUUUAAAUGGAUUAAGCCAAUUUACCAGAGCGGACCUAUCUGAGUCCGUAAAGUGGAGAAAAACGAGCUUGCUGUUGAAUUUCAAUCGGCGUCGUACCAAAGGGCAAAAUCGUCCAACUUUUUCUGUGUAACCUGAAACACAAAACAAAGUAUAUCAGCGCGUUCAGGAGAUCGAAACAAACAAGUUACCUGAAGACUGCGUCGCCGGAAAACCGCCCACGCGCCACCGCCGGCGGCCCACGCGCCGCCGCUCCCGGAGCGCCUCGGCCUGCUGAUGAUGGGUAUGGCCUCCGUUUGUCCAACCGAGCUUUGGUUUGUGAGUAAUUGCAAAUUUUCAGAUUCGGAUUCUAGGUUGUAGGUGCGAAAAUCAGCCGAUUUUGAGCCGUUUUUUGCCACCCAAGCUCUGAUACCAGAUGUUAGGACCUUCCUCUUGCUGCUCACGGUGAUUUCCGGGCUCAGUUAACCAUUAAAACAGAAUUCAACAUCAAUUUUGGAGUCACCAAUACCGUCGGCGCCUCUUCCUCUUUGGUUGCUUUCCUCCUUUGCUUUGUUGAUUUAAUCCACUCACUUAGGAUGGAUACCACUCAGGUAAGGUUCACAAAGACUCAAGCAAUUGGGGUGGAGAAGAAAUCACGAAGAAGAUGAAGGCAGAAGAACACGGCUGGGCGCGACAGUUUCUCUAACUCUCACGGCUUCAACAUUGGACGGGUUCAACAAGGGUGAAAACACCAAUAUAUAUAGUAAGUCAAGUGGCCAACAUAAGGUAAGUCAGGAUAUGGUAAGUAGGCUUGACUAGGGUUAACUUCCAAUGGAAGGAAUCAACAAGCCACAAAGAGUAUUAGCCGUCCAAUAGGUAAAGCAACGUUUGGUCGGUUCAUCCAUUAUUCGAUGUUGAAUUAUCGUUCAGUCAUUCAUGUCGACUAAUAAAAUUGGUUCUCAUCAUCGCCCGGGAGGUCGUUUGACAACAUAAUGUCUAACAAUUAUUAAUCUUUGUUUUUUUCCACUAAAAGCAAAAGAUUGAACUGCUGGACUAUAUAAAAUCACAGAAACCAAUAACUUUGUAAUACUUUCCUCUAACCGACCGUAUAUGAAUUUUAUCCUCAUUCAAGAUUCGAUAAUUAGGUACAAGUAUAAAUAACUAUUUUGUCCUUCUAAUUAUUAUAACUAACUUGAGUAUCAUUUUUUUCAACGGUUCUGUGAACUAAUCAUAAAUGUUGAAGUUUAGCCAUCGUUAAAUACUGAGUUCAAAUUUUAACUGUUCAACAAAAAAUACUUAAGUAGUCGUUCUACUCAUUUUUCAGAGUAACGGUUCCCCAUCACGAAUUCAUGUUCUUUACUUCGCUCAUUCUUAAGUUUCCAACUCGUGAAGAUAUUUGUCUAAUCAAAUUGAUCUCAUCCAUUGAUAAAUCAAAUGACCAUUAAAAUCACGAAAAUAUAUACAUAAUCAUGUUAUGGGAUUUAGAUGAAAUACAUAGUGGUCAAGUGAAAUUUAAUUCUUCGUGAGGUCAUGUUAUAAAAUUAAACUCAACGUGUGGUUCGUUCAAAACACUCCAAGUGUACUAGUAUCACUUUUAACUAUUUUUGCGAUAAGAAUAAAUUACAAACUUAAAUAGUGAAUCGGUCAAUACUACAACCUUUCAAUACAAGGUGCCAACUCUUAUACAUUAGUUGUGAACAAAUUACUUAUAAUAAUCAAAAAAUAAGUUAUGACACAUUGUACUUAUCAACGCAAUUACCCAACUUAUAUUAUUACAAGUGAUCAUAGAUAUUUAAUUCACAUGCUCACUAAUAAAUAAUACAAUAAAUAAAUAAAAUCACAAUUUAUUUAUUAUAAAUCAUUAUUUUAUCAUAGCAAAAUAUAUUAUAUUUGUACGCAACCCAAUAGAAAACUGGCUUAGGAAAAUAAUAAUAAAAAAAAAAAAAAAAAGCGAAAACUUGAGAUCAAGAAAAUAUAAAUUUACUAUAGCAACUAUGUCAGAUAUGCUUGUAACAAAUCUCUUUAAAACAAAAUAUGUUGCCACGGAUAAUCUACCUUGUGUCAAGCUAAUGCUUCGUCAUUCUCCCUGCAAGAGAAGAUUCAUCCUGAAAUCUAUAGCAACUAUUUAUUUAUUGCUUAGCUGUGUCAUGCCAAGAGAUUGGUCUGGCAUAACAGAUUUCUUACAUUAUCAUAAAGAAUUUUUAACAAACGGCUUAAAUACUUGAGCUAUAUUCGUACAUGUAAUUUCAAUUUUGUCAAUCGCUUCUUAUAGUACACUUUUUUCAUUUACAAUGUCCAAAAUGGUAGGCCAUUGCAAGCCUCGUUUGAAUCAAAUAUCCAUUCGCCUCCCAAAAUUCAAAUGAAUGAAAAGAUUUCCUUUGUUGUUAGAGUCCUUCGUUGAGGAUUGCCCGACCAUUGCAUUUGCACACCGUUGUAAUAGCUAAUCAACCUUCUUCGAGAACACUUUGAUUUGUUGAUGAAGUUGUUUUAUGUUUAUCAGCUGCGUCCACAAGCACGUAUGUCACAUUUGUGCAUCCUCAGAAUGUCAUGGACUGCAAAAAUGAUGAAUAAGCCUAAGUAUACAACUGUUGAAUCCAAUCACCACAUCCAAUCACUACUUCACACCAGUCAUGACACAUAAGACCGUUGACCCACCAUUAGACGCUCUGCAUACAUGGCCUACCACAUGGACAUCACGUUGCGAUCAUCUUGUCUAUGCCACCUCUAAAGCGUCUAAUGCAUCCUUAGUGAUAGGCGUCGUCGCAUAUGGACGUCUUAAUGGUUCCGUUGCACUAUCUUUAGAACUUGUGGCUAGUUAUAGCCAGGUGUUGUGUAAAAUUACAAUUUAAAACUGUGAACUAUCUCUUUUCGAUAUUGGAAUCCUUAUACCAAAUAAAGACACUAAAAGUUUUUAAUCGUAUUUUCAUCAUGGAUACUUUGAAGACUUACUCCAAUUUACACAUUUAUCUAUUUAAUCACUGUCAUGACAAGGAUUAAAUGCCAAUAGUUGCAUUAAAAUAUGAUACGAGUCCACACCAAGCAUGUGAGAAAAUAUUGGAUUGUUGCUAGACCAUAUUUUUCCUUAAUCUGUAAUAGAUAUAUUGGAUCAUCUUCAUUUUAAUUUCCAUCAGAAAAUAUUUAUUUUCCCCAGAAAUUCCACUGAAGGGACUCUUUGUUGCUAGAUAAAUGACAAACACGUAAAUUAUCCUAUGACAAAGGUGCAUGCCAAUGACUAUAAGAGGGAUGGCGGCAGGUGAGUUCGCAAGGCUGGGUGUGGGAUGGGCGCAGUUAUUCGGUGCCCGGGAUGGGUGUGGGCAGAUUAAUUUAAUUUGAUAAUAUUAUCAUUUAAAAUUAAAAUAUUGAACUAACGCCUAAUUUUUACAUUUUUAAACUUAAUGUCUGAAAAUUGAUUUGGUGCAUACUUAAUACCUAACUUAUUUUAUUUUAUUUUUCCGUUGUUAAAUAGCAACUUUUUGGGCCUAUGAAGUUUUAAUUCUUUUAAUAAAAAAUAUGCUUAUAAGUAAAGUUGGUGCCGGGUCAUCCGUUUAUACGGUUGGAACUUAUAAUUGUCCCUUCUUUUUUCGAUUUUUAAUUCAAAAGUGAUUUUUAGUUAUAAUCGAAUCAAUUUUAAGACUAGUUUUCAAUUUUUCCAGUUCAAUUGGUCGAUUCAAUUCGAUUUCAACAAUAUUGAUAAAUAUGGUAGGAGAGUGUAAAAAUACUUAAUCCCUGUUUGGUUUUGUUAAAAUAGAUUUUGAUAAAUAAUAAUAAUGAUGAUGAUGAUGAAGUGCUAUUGAAAACUUAAUAAAAAUAGUGUGUUUCAUAAAAUGUGCGAUUAAAAUUAUUAAAAAUUACAUUCAUUCCUACUUUUUAACUUAUCAAUUUAAAUGUAAGCUAUAAAAUUUAUUUAUUUAUUUAUUUUCAAAAAUUAGGUGUAUCACACCCCACCUCUACCUACCAACCAAUCACAAAUCCUAAUUUAUUUUUUUAUCCAUUCUCCAAGCCACAAUUACAUCCACACCAGAAUGAUUGUCGUCCAUCACCAUCGUUUGCCGCCCCACCACGCAGUCACUGACAGCUACCUGUUGUGCACCACAUAAGCAAUGCUUUGGCGUUGUUCGCAGCAUCUAGCGUCAAUGCUACUAGUAGAGAAAAGGGUUGGAGGGAAAAAAACAAUUUGGAUGAGGAUUUGUGGAUCAUGGCCUCGAGUGCAAUUUGUAAAAUUGUAAAUGAUGGUCUUCGUCGUUGUGGUUGGCAGCGACGGUGGCGGCGACGAUGAUAGUUGCGUGGGAUAAAUAACAUUUUUGAUCAAUUAUUUGGGUUAUUGUGACCAAUCAAAUGAACAAUUCGUGAUUAGUAAAUAAUAUUUAAUCGAUAAAAUGAGUAAUUUGUGGCCAAUAAAUAAUUUAUUAUUUAAAAAAUAUACGAUUAUCACUGAAUUUGUAAUCGUACUCACAAUUUGUAUUUUUGUGAAUGUGACCUUAUGCAAUUUGUAACCAUAAUUGUGUGACAUUUGUGACCUUGACCUUUUAACUCGUUGUCACAUUUACCCCCCGUUUGGCCUCCAUUAUUUUUUAUUAUAAUUGGAGAAAUAGUAUUUUUUGAAAAAUGAAUGAUUGUAAAAGAAUGAAAAGUUUUUAUUUACGUGUAAUAUUAUUUUAUUGAAGAUUAUGUGGUAGAGAGAAAAAUUUAAUUUAAUUUAAUUUGAUGAGAUUUAAAGGGAGCGAAAUGGGGUUUUAAUUUUUGAAAAUUUUCACAAGUUUCUUAUUCUCGAAAGUGUAUCUUGAAGUUAUUGUAAUUAUGUAUUCGUCCCAUAAAAUUAAUAUUACUUGAACAUAAAAUUUUAUUAAUUUUUUCCAGCUAAACCAAACAUGGUCUUAUUUUCCAAUAAUUUUUAGAGAAGGAAGGGAAAAAAAAGAAAAAGAAACAACAAAUAAAAAAUUUGGCAAAAUAUUUGUCCUCAUUUAAAACAAGUUAAAAUAAUAUUUGAACAUAAAGUUUCAUCGGAAUUAAAAUAUGCUGACUGAUUGAAAGUUAACAAUAAAUUUAAAUUAAAAAUUGAAGAAAAUAAAGAGACGAUAAACAGAGAUGGAAAACCUUUCACAAUUAAAGUUUAUAACAAUAUGUGAUUAGACAUCAAUAUAGCGACCUUAUGUAUAAACAUUGGCCUAAUUAAUUGUUCCAAUGGUCAUUGAAUUUUGGCCUAAAUAAUAUUUUUGGCAUUUUUUUAUACAAGCGGCCGGCGUGGGUGGGGUUUUGGUCUUCUUUUUAUACAAGCGGUCCCGCGUGGGACCGCCUGCUGUGAGUGUGUGUACGCACAGCAUAAUUGAUUCAUUUAAGCGACGCCCAGAAGGAUGAACGCCACUUUCUUGAUCAUCAUCCUCUCCAUUACAGAAACCAGAUUAUGUAUCCCAGACUAAUUUUAUUAAAAUGUGCAACUUUACUGUUGUUAAUUUUCUGCAGGAUGACUUUAUCACAAAAUGUCAUUGAAACUCUGCCAGGGUAUCCUGGCAAACUUCCAUUCAGACUUGAAACUGGGUGAGCUUCUCUAUUUCAUUUUCCUCCGACAAAAUAAGCAGUUAUCUGAUGUUCUUUUGCAGUUACGUCGGUAUAGGAGAAUCGGAAGAAGUGCAGCUAUUUUAUUAUUUCAUCGAGUCUGAAAGGAACCCAAAAGAUGAUCCCUUAAUGAUUUGGCUCACUGGAGGCCCGGCUUGCUCUGGUCUCUCAGGUCUUAUAUAUGAGAUGGGUAUGUUUCGGGUCUUUAUACUGUUUUUGGCUCAAAAUUGAAUUUGCUAUUAACCGUCAAAGUAAAAAAGUUUGUCCCUUCUCUCACCGCUGACGCUUUUUGAUGGGUGAUUAAAGCAAGUGGAGGGUUGAUUUGAAAUCUUACUUCAACCUAUUUAUGAAAAUCAUGUAGAUCAUUAGGCCUUUGAUAAAAAUAAUUAAGGCAUGUAAGUGAAGGAGCAUAAGUUUUGUUGAAAGGAUUACUAAGUUUGCCCCCAUUCUAAAAACUUAACUUUAGAAAAGGCGAUUCAACACAUUUUUGAUGCGGCACGAACUUGAACAAGUAUAUUUACAUAGUUAGGGCUGGACAUGGUCCGAUUCGGUUUGGUUCUUACGAGAACCGAACCGACCCGAAAUUUUCGGGUAUUUAGCAAGUAGAACCGUCGAGUCCAAAUUUAAUUACGGAACCGUUUGAGUUCGGUUUCAUUCGAUUCGGUUCGGUCCGGUUCGGUUCCUUUCGGUUCCGUAUUAUAAUUAAAUUUUUUAAUAUAUACAAAGUUACGUUAAUUUAAUUAAUGAUAUAUUUAAUAUUAGCUCUUACAAAAUAACGUAGUUCAAUCUUAUGUGUUUCACGUCGCUCUUUGCUGAAUUUUUCAUAAAUUUGAUUAUUAAAAUUACAGAAAGAGAAAGAUAACGAGCUCAAAAUAAUUAAGAGAGAUGUUCUAGAGUUUUAAUUCGAUUUUCUCCGAUAGAAACGACACUACAGUAGAAUAACUGAUUUGGAUAAAAUUGAGGUCAAUUUGAUUAAGUCGAUUUUGAACUGAAUAUUAGAAAUAGGAAAAUCAUAUUUUGUGAUUUGAACGAAAUUAACUAGUUAAUAAAUUUAUUUAGAAAAAAUAAAAUAAUUUUACUUAUUUAAAAUAAAUUAAUUUAAAAAAUUACGGAGAUUCGAUUUUUAUUCGAUUUUUCGGGUCUUGGCCUAGAACCGAGAACCGAACUAUACCCGUCGGUUCUUGAUUCAAAUACCUGAAUGGGUAUUUAACUUGAGAAGAAUCAUCGGGUUCGGUUCUAUUCGGUUCGGGUUCAGUUCGGUCGGUUCGGUUCGGUUCGAGAGUUUUGUCCAGCCCUAUACAUAGUGCUUGAAUUAAGCCACGGCUGGAUUGAAAAUUUUACAUCUUUUAUUAUUAUUAUUAUUAUUAUUAUUAUUAUUACNAGUGGAGAAAAACGAGCUUGCUGUUGAAUUUCAAUCGGCGUCGUACCAAAGGGCAAAAUCGUCCAACUUUUUCUGUGUAACCUGAAACACAAAACAAAGUAUAUCAGCACGUUUAGGAGAUCGAAACAAACAAGUUACCUGAAGACUGCGUCGUCGGAAAAUCUCCCACGCGCCGCCCACGCGCCACCGCCGGCGUCCCACGCGCCGCCGCCGUCGCCACGCGCCACCUCUCCCGGAGUGCCUCGGCCUGCUGAUGAUGGGUAUGGCCUCCGUUUGUCCAACCGAGCUUUGGUUUGUGAGUAAUUACAAAUUUUCAGAUUCGGGUUCUAGGUUGAAAAUGCGAAAAUCAGCCGAUUUUGAGCCUUUUUUGCCACCCAAGCUCUGAUACCAGAUGUUAGGAUCUUCCUCUUCCUGCUCACGGUGAUUUCCGGGCUCAGUUAACCAUUAAACCGAAUUCAACAUCAAAUUGGAGUCACCAAGAACCGCCGGCGCCUCUUCCCACUUGGUUGCUUUCCUCCUUUGCUUUGUUGAUUUAAUCCACACACUUAGGAUGGAUACCACUCAGGUAAGGUUCACAAAGACUCAAGCAACUGGGAUGGAGAAGAAAUCACGAAGAAGAUGAAGGCAGAAAAGCAUGGCAGAACAUGGCAGCUUCUAUCUCUCACGGCUUCAACUUGGACGGGCUCAACUAGGAUGAAAACACCAAUAUAUAUAGUAAGUCAAGUGGCCAACAUAAGGUAAGUAAGGAUAUGGUAAGUAGGCUCGACUAGGGUUAACUUCCAAUGGAAAGAAUCAACAAGCCACAAAGAGUAUUAGCCGUCCAAUAGGUAAAGCAACGUUUGGUCGGUUCAUCCAUUAUUCGAUGUUGAAUUAUCGUUCAGUCAUUCAUGUCGACUGAUAAAAUUGGUUCUCAUCAUCGCCCGAGAGGUCGUUUGACAACAUAAUGUCUAACAAUUGUGUUCGGCAUUUUCCCUCUCGAAUUAGCUCUAGAUUCUAAUUUGUGUGCAUAAGAUGCUGAGAACAAUGCUUCUUUUCAACUAUUAUAAACUAGAUGAAAGUCAUCAGAUUUUAUAAAUGAAAACUACAACCAUCAAGAAUCUAAAACCACAACAUACACUCCAGGCAAGUGGGCAUGUAUUGCAACAAAUGCAUGUUUUUUUUAUAAAUAAUAGGGAAGAACUAAGCAAAACAUUGAUAACAAAUACUGAUUAUACGCAACAAAUGCACGAUUAUGGCAGAAAAAUAACCAUGACGAUAUGGAAAUAUCUGUAAUAAUCUCGCCCAAAAGCAUUCGUCAGCGCACAUUCAUUUUCCAAAAACACGUGAGCUUCCAUGCAGCCCUCGGCCCAUGAGUGAAGAAACAGGACUAUACCCCAACCAUGGAACAUCCCACUUCUGAUUGGUUAAUAAGCUCACUUUUUGGAUUUUCAUUUGUUUUGAGCUCUUUUCUUGAUUUGAUUUGUGGCCUUUUCUUAUCUGGUACUAGGGAUUGUGAGUGGUCAUGGAAUAAUUAUCCAUUGCUUGGAGUUUAUUUCUUGAGAAGUGAUUGGAGCAUGUAUAGUUAAAAGUAAGAAAAACUUACACAGAAAUGUGAAAAUGAUAUUUUAUUUUAUUUUUUGGUUGAAAAAAAUGGGAAAGAAAUCAGUUUCAAACAAGGGUUUAACUUUAAAUCCCAUCUUUGAUUGAAUUUUUGCUCAUUUUAUUGCUGUUUUUAUUUGUUUUAAGUUUUCUUUUCUUGUUUGGUGCUUGGGGUAGUGAUGACUAAAUGGUGGUGGAAUGUUUAAACUUCACAUCUUUAAUGCCUUUUUUGCUCUAUUUAUGUGUAUUAAUUUGUUUUGAGCUUUCUUUUCUUGAUUUGAUUUGUGGGUUAUUCUUGUUCGGUGCUUGGAGGUAGUAAUAAUGUUGGGUUUUUUUAUAUCCAAUAAAUCCCUGGGUACGAUGUUAACAUGAGUUAAUGUAUUUCAAAGGCAUAGGCCGAUGAAUGAAAUAAGUCUAACAACCAAGUCCAUGAGAUCCAUCCGGUCCAUUGCAUUCCCUCUUGGAUAGCUUGAAUCUUGGCCCUUCUAGCUUUCUUAAUGGUCCUAUUAAAAAACCUAACCCUAGCAAACUUAUAAGGAAUAAACCCUAGCCACAUUCUAGUAUGAUUUGUGAGAAAAAUAGAGGAAAUUCGGCUACCCUUUGAAGAGUGAAAAAAAGGCCUAAAGAACUAAGACUAAGCUUGAAAGUAGCUUUUUAGUUUUUCCACGAGACAUUUUUGAGCCUUUUAAAAGGUUAUUACUCUUUUUGGGUUUUUAAUUCUAGAACUUACUAUAGUACUUCUGCUAUUUUUAAUGAUGCAGGAUUAUAUAAUCCUGAAUGUUGCUGCAUUUAAUGAGAUUGUGGCAUGAACUUCUUGAACCUGAUUGGCUGCUUUCAGCAAAAAGCUGGAAAUUUGUGAUGGCUCACUCGGGUGUAAUGGAGGCCACAUGAAAUUUCUGGAAGGAAACUGCUUUUAGAGCUAAUUUGUUGAUAGGUGGUUAGUUCUUUUUUUCUUAAAACAUAUGAAGUGGAUUGUAACCCAGUGGAAGGUAG